GAUGAACGCUGGCGGCGUGCCUAAUACAUGCAAGUCGAGCGAACGGACGAGAAGCUUGCUUCUCUGAUGUUAGCGGCGGACGGGUGAGUAACACGUGGAUAACCUACCUAUAAGACUGGGAUAACUUCGGGAAACCGUAGCUAAUACCGGAUAAUAUUUUGAACCGCAUGGUUCAAAAGUGAAAGACGGUCUUGCUGUCACUUAUAGAUGGAUCCGCGCUGCAUUAGCUAGUUGGUAAGGUAACGGCUUACCAAGGCAACGAUGCAAAGCCGACCUGAGAGGGUGAUCGGCCACACUGGAACUGAGACACGGUCCAGACUCCUACGGGAGGCAGCAGUAGGGAAUCUUCCGCAAUGGGCGAAAGCCUGACGGAGCAACGCCGCGUGAGUGAUGAAGGUCUUCGGAUCGUAAAACUCUGUUAUUAGGGAAGAACAUAUGUGUAAGUAACUGUGCACAUCUUGACGGUACCUAAUCAGAAAGCCACGGCUAACUACGUG
rnacentral:rRNA from 1 species